GUCAGAAGAGUUGCCUUAUCUUGUGUGUUUUGACUGUAAAGUGAAAACAAGCUUGAUAUUUAUUUAAUGAUGGUACAACUGUGGUCAGGACAGACAGUAAUGUGAUCUGCAUCAAGGCAUUAAGGACACUGUUCCCCCUUUGAAGACACCACAUCCCAGACGACUGAAGCUGGGGUCUCGUGUCAGCCUCCGGACCAACAUUACCCAGUAAAACAUGCACACUU